rnacentral:rRNA from 1 species
GCGGCGUGCCUAAUACAUGCAAGUCGAGCGAGCGGAACUAACAGAUUUACUUCGGUAACGACGUUAGGAAAGCGAGCGGCGGAUGGGUGAGUAACACGUGGGGAACCUGCCCCAUAGUCUGGGAUACCACUUGGAAACAGGUGCUAAUACCGGAUAAGAAAGCAGAUCGCAUGAUCAGCUUUUAAAAGGCGGCGUAAGCUGUCGCUAUGGGAUGGCCCCGCGGUGCAUUAGCUAGUUGGUAAGGUAAAGGCUUACCAAGGCGAUGAUGCAUAGCCGAGUUGAGAGACUGAUCGGCCACAUUGGGACUGAGACACGGCCCAAACUCCUACGGGAGGCAGCAGUAGGGAAUCUUCCACAAUGGACGCAAGUCUGAUGGAGCAACGCCGCGUGAGUGAAGAAGGUUUUCGGAUCGUAAAGCUCUGUUGUUGGUGAAGAAGGAUAGAGGUAGUAACUGGCCUUUAUUUGACGGUAAUCAACCAGAAAGUCACGGCUAACUACGUGCCAGCAGCCGCGGUAAUACGUAGGUGGCAAGCGUUGUCCGGAUUUAUUGGGCGUAAAGCGAGCGCAGGCGGAAGAAUAAGUCUGAUGUGAAAGCCCUCGGCUUAACCGAGGAACUGCAUCGGAAACUGUUUUUCUUGAGUGCAGAAGAGGAGAGUGGAACUCCAUGUGUAGCGGUGGAAUGCGUAGAUAUAUGGAAGAACACCAGUGGCGAAGGCGGCUCUCUGGUCUGCAACUGACGCUGAGGCUCGAAAGCAUGGGUAGCGAACAGGAUUAGAUACCCUGGUAGUCCAUGCCGUAAACGAUGAGUGC